rnacentral:tRNA from 1 species
GCGGGUGUAGUUCAAUGGUAGAACGUCAGCCUUCCAAGCUGAUCACGAGAGUUCGAUUCUCUUCACCCGCUCCA